UCUCCAAAUAUUGAGUGACACAUUUGUUUUGCUUUCUGGGCCGAUCCCAGGGGCUGAAUGACAUUCGUCAGAAUAAAGGGCGGUCCUACGUAAAAUUUCUUGGUGGUGGUACGUUUCGACGAGGUCUUCCCAAUCGUCUUCGCAGCCGCGUCUUCAAGUUGUUCUAUCAGUGUGUCGUAGUCAUUGCACUGGGCAGUACACAGGCUCUUUUCGAGAGUAUCUGCAAAUUCUUGUAGUUUUUCUUCGUUUUGGGUCUUCCAGCGUUGAAUUAUCUUUUUUGGCUUUGGUUUAAUUUGAAUUGACGCAGUUCGGUGCUCUAUUGCAAUCGAUAGUUUUAUCAAGUUAUGGUCGCUGUCACAGCUGUGUUCUUCUUCGUCGAUUUCAAAUGCCAACGUUGUCUGUUCACUAUAGCACUUUUCAUUUGCUAGCAUAUAGUCGAUGGCGGAUGUUUGGGAUCCUCUUGACCAUGUGACUGUACCCACAGAGAAAGGCUCCAGGUUUAGUAUCAACAUUGUUUUCCGCGUAUGUACGUAAGUCAUGGGCAGAUUCGCGGCCGUCUAACUCUAAGCAAUGGCAGUUGAAAUCCCCCAUUAGCCCGCUUCCACUCGCCGCUAGGGGACCAACUACUGCAAAUGUUCAGAGAUUCGCGUACUUUCCGGGGCCACGACUGCUCAAAUGGAGUGACUGUGCAGGCACACACCACAAUUACAUGUUGCAAUUGAAUGCAUAUUCACUUGUGCCUUUUCAACUUUCCAGAAACCUUAAACUGCUGGGGUUCAAAGGAAAAUAUCGAUCCAUCGUGUGCUAUUAAGAACAUCUCAAAUACUUUGUUGAAUGAUUCAAGAUGUCCACAAGGCAGUCAAGCAAGGGACCAAUCCAGAGGCGGAGAGUUUUCAUUUUCCCAGGGGGGGCAAGGGCGCACCGCGAAGCUGCAAACCGUGAUAGUGCUUCAAUUGUUCUUGAAGAGCUUCCUGUUCCCUAAGAAGAUCUUCCAAGUUCUGUAAUAGAAGGUAUGUAAAUUGGCAUGGUGGGACUCUCAGGUGUCCAUGAAUGGCAUAUGUCCGGAUAAUAGUACGCAAAAAAUUGGAGAAAACAGCACAACACAGCAAAUUUUGAGACCAGCGCAAUUAUCAAUAAAGUAUGCAGAACAAAGACCUCAGAACAGGCCCUCUGGACACAAGAAUACGCAGGUCAUGCUUGAUCUAGUUGGAGGUAUUCAAGAUACAUAAAAUGGAGCACAUGACCAAGUUGAGAUGGCUGGUACACAAAAAAAGGCAGAAGGGUAAUAAAUAAAUACAGUAAACAUGUGGGUUAACAACUUUGUCAAAGAAAUGGGUAAAAAACAACCACACAAACAAACUUGAGGUGAUUGAAACUAAACACACAUUCAUAGAAAGACUGCAAGUCAAAAUAUGUGGAAUCAACUUGUUUUCAGCCAUAUAUUUCCCGGUCAACAUACUGAAAGAACAAUAACAGAUUUAGAUAAACAACAAGAUAGGCAGUGAUGUAAGGUACCAUGAAAAAUACUUCAAGUAAAGUACUAAGUACUUGCAGUAGUACAGUGGCGUCGCAAGGGUACGUGUCACCCAGUGCAGGAGCUCUUUGCGUCACCCCUCACCCCACCCCAUGCCCCCAUUAAUGGAUACCUUUCCGUACCAGGCGAUUCACGAUAAAUAAACAUAUUACACCACACUCAGAAGAAAAAAAAAGUGCCUUGCAGAAGGCUCCGCAUGUUGUUUUUGGCGUCAUCGUGCCACAGAGAACGGGAGGAAGCGGCAGUAUUGGUGCGGCGCGUCACCCCUUCCGUCGCUUCACUCGGUGCGGACCGCACCCCCCUAGUGACGCCACUGCAGUAGUAUGUACUUUAAGUACAGUAAAAAGUAGUGAGAAGUGUACAUGGAGUACUUAUUAAGUACCCUAAAGUAAAACACAUUUUUUAUGUCACGCCUUUCAGCUUUCACACAGUCUAACGUGCACAUAUAUUGAAAUGCAAAUCUCAGACAAACCACACACAGGAGCUACAUGCAUGAGCAAGCAACGUAAAGGAACAUGUUGAGGCGUGCCACUUUAUCGGCUCCGAUCGGGUUGCAAACUGGCUAUAACUAGGGCCUGACUUUUUCGGGUUUUAUUUUUGGCCAAAUUCGGGGGGUAAAUAUCGGGUGAUAUUUUUCAUUUGAAAAUUCGGGUGUAUUCGGGUUAAAUCCCGUUACGGCAUAUUCUGUCGUCAGGAAUUCGGGUGAUUUUUUUUUGUUUAAUAAAAAUUUGUCUUAACAUGGAACUAAUGUUUAGCAAUGUUAUCAAACUUUAUUUUAAUGCACGCUUAUGAGUGUGCCACGCGACCCGGAUGUUUUCGGGUAGAAGACACGUCUUUCCUUCAUCGCCAACGGGAGAGGGGGAAGGAGCACAGUGCCGCCUCAUGCGUCGAAGAUGAGCUUUAACUUGCGGAAACAAAACAAAAACAAAUGUAUCGGGUGACUCUAUCGGAACUGGCCUUAUCUUGGGUUGCACUUUUUGUUUCCUUUUAAUCUUUUUCCAGGACGCGAGAGGCGAUAGUGUGCUCUUUCUCCCUCUCACAUUGGGGGUGAAAGAAAGACGCGCAAUGAACAAAAUAAAGAAAAAAAUGGCGUUCCUUCACGAAUUUUUUGCGGGCGAUCUAUCGAACGGAUUUUUGUUCUGAAAACGGCUACGAUAUCAGGUGACCGAAAGGAACAGAUGUUCUCAUUGAGACAACUUUGUAGCUUUUAUAAUUAAAAAGUUAAUUAAGACAUUGCCUUUGGACUUUGCUAAUGCCCUGCUAGGGAGUGCCCUUUAGCAUAUGCUAUAUUGCAAUUGAUUUCAUCUUGGAAAAAGUGUUAUAUAUAUUUUUAAAAAAUCUGUUCACACUUAGCGUGGACACCCUGUAUAAUUUAUAUAUACUUUGGAGCAUUUUGGAGCAGAGAAAUAUGCAUUUGGAGCGCUUUCGAGCACCCCCAAACAUAAUUUUCGGAGUACUUUGGUAGCAGUACUCUUAUGCCUUAUAGGUCCCGCCUUGCAGCUGCUGUGCGGAAAUUGCUGUUUCAAAUAAAAUCGUGUGGAAUUACACGUGGAGAUGAUUCCAAGCAUUAUGUUAACACGCAUGUAGAUAUCUAAUGACUUGACUUCGUGGGACGGUGUGCCGUGCAAGGAAGUUUUGUGUCAGCAUUUGCUCAUGUUUGGUUACAACCUGACCUUGACAUUUGGAAAAACUUCAUAUCUCAUAAACACCACUUCUAAUCGCCACAGUGUGUUCAUCUUCUAGUGCCUGUGCUCCCUAUUGCACGACUAACACAUCUCAAAGUUUUCAGUGUUAGAUCACAAAUAAAUAACACAAAUAUAGCCAAGAAAAUACAGCACCAGACACUCCCGGCGACUCAGCUUGGAGACCAAGCCAUCUAGUACAUGCUAUUUUCUCAAAGCUGAUGUCUGGCUUCCAGACAAAGCCUGACUUCAUUCUCAAUGUAUUUUUUUUUUUCUUUGACUGUAUCACACAAAUGUUGUCCCAAAGGCUCCCAAGUACCCAAGUCAAACAAAGCCAGACUAGACAAUUUUUCUCGCUUCUGUCAGUAACAUUGGCAUCUGCAGUGCUCUGACCAGUUCCUUCUGUAAUGUGGAAUUAUGUACUUUUUAGCCUCUCCAGUGCUCGUCGAGCAGAAAUGAAUAUUUUCUUCAAAGGCUUUGUUCCAGACCCCCAUUUAUCUAGACGAAUUUGAAAAUUCUCAUUCUUCCGCUGUAGAGCACACAGGUACGUAACACCAUUUUUGAAGCCUCAAGUUGAACACCCAACCCUCGUGAAGCUAGACGUGUGAUUGAUAACCAUGUUAAAGCAUUUUAAAAAUGCAACAUAAAAGUGGGACCAACUUUAACAGUGCUGAGCAUACUUAUCUAAAACUGUGAGAGUUAUCUUGCAGUAGCUUCUUAUUUUCUGUAAGAAUGGAUUCUCCACAAAGAAGACUUUACUACACAAAGAAUGACUAUAAGCAGUCAUCACUGUAUCAGCACCUCAUCUAAAACAACAUAAAAAUUUAAAAGCUUUCUUGAGAAUAUAUAACAUUUGCAUAUGUGAGGUAGCUUACACGAUGACAAGCAACUAUUUCUUCAUGGGUGAACGCUCCAUCAACUUCUCUUUUCUGGAAACGAGGUGAAUUACACUGCAUAAAAAUACUGCACAUUUGAAUGAUGAUGAAUCAACAUACAUGUAGACGAUCACGUUUCUUCUCAUAUUCCAGUUGCUUGGCGUGAUAAAAGCGCAUAUUUUUCAUGUGCUGCUGCUGCCUGGCCUCAAAUUCCUUGUACUUGCAAGGUGCGGAGCUGGAAAUGAUGCAUCAAAACUGUAAGCAGUGUACUACAUCAGAAGCAAAGUGAUCUUGGUCAACUUUAAAUCAAGUCUCAGUCAAGUAAACUACAGCCAACAACUGACCUAGCAACAUGCUUCUUUCUCACACUUUCAAGAGGAGCUUCUUUCUCACACUGUUCACUGGUGCUGGUGAAAAUGAUGGCUCUAUCAUUUUCAUCAGCACCAGUGAACAGUGCGAGCUUUCAAUAAGCACGUAAAGCUAGAUGUGAGGGUCAAGAUUGUCUCUGCUCUUUUAGCAUUGUGCACAACACUCCUCUAAACCACGGUAAAAGUACAAGUGGAAGUACAAGUAGAGGUUCAAAGAAACGGCAUAUGUUGAUACAAGAGCAUGCGGCAAUCAUGCGAAAUUCAGUGACAAGAGUCAGUGAGAUUUCAGAGGCAGAGGCAUGUCUUGUUCAUUAUGUGCAAGCCCCUCAAGUAUGUGUUUUUUGGCAUUUCUAGUAUUUUGAAGUUUCACCAAUAGGCCCGAAGAAAUGCUUUGAUUUGAUUUGAAAGUUCCUGCGGCGCAAGGAUAACGCACCGAAGGAAUACAAGUGGUUCUUAACCGGGGUUCCGUAAACUUUUCCCUGAAGUUCCACAUACUGCAGAGUUCCCGCAAGUGUAACAAAGUGCGUAUCAAGGCUUGCCCAGGGCCAGACUUGGUAUGCAAUGAGCUUGGCCCGAGCAGCACAGCGAUACGUUACUAAAGCUGAAAUUAGAUAAUGAGGGACAUGUAAGUUUUUGGUGGUCAGUGCCAUUUGCACGCUUCUAUCAACAAGCAGUGAAUGCCCUCUUGACCUUUUCAACAGCCUAUAGGUGUAAAAUAACACUCUUCAGUAUGAUGUAAGUCAAAACCUGAAACCGAGUAUAGAGAGAGGCUAGGUGUGGGAGAUUAUAUGAGGCUCUGUGGAACUUCUUUUAUUUUUUAUUCUGUGUUAGUGCCGCGAAGCAACUGUGGCUAUGAGCGGCAUGUCGACAGAUGGAGAGAGGACAGCAGGAAGGAGCGGGGGGACAAGGGGGUUAGUAUGCGUCCUGGGCCGACUUCAAGGGUAACUGUGCCGACAUUCGUCUGGAAAGUCUUCGGAAAACCCAGGGAAAACCUCGGACAGCACAGCCGGCGGUAGGAUUCGAACCCACCACCUCCCAGUCUUCAGCACGACCUUGGACCCUGUGGGACUAAUAUGAAGCUAACACGAGGAUGAAUGUCAAGCAAUGCAAACAUCCCACUGACAUCACUGUUGUCCACAGUAUCCUGACUCUUGCAUGAAAAUAAAUAAUUUGGUAUUUGCA